AGAAAAUCAACAGAACUUCUAACAUUUAUAAAAAAAAAUGUAUGGAAGAAAAUCAACACAUCUUGUUUUCGUGCCUGAAACAAAACAAUGUAAGUGAAACAAUGUUUUACACUUACCAUCCCAUGACGAUUUCAAUGGGGAUGCGGGUACCAUCAGUUGUAUUUGACGAAGUUGUGUAUACAAUGUCAUUCCUUGGUACUUAAAUCCCCACAGAUGAAGAUGGUCCUGAUAUGUUGACUGUAACUGAAUCUGGCGUAACUGGUGUUGGCAGUUCAGGCAAUGGUGGUGCUUGAUCAGGUGCGAAACUCGACAUUAGAGGAGAUUCCACUGGAUCUGUUGUCCUUUUUCCAGAAUAUCUACUACACCCACCCCCACCCACCCCAGGUUCCAUAUCUCUUGGGUGGGUGUUGGUGUAGACUUAGGUUUAGGAUUUUUCGGACAAUUUCUCUUGUUAUGAUUUGGUCCUUUGCAAAAUGAACAUAUCAUUAUUGUCCCUAUUCUUGGCACUCUCUAGCUUU
rnacentral:misc_RNA from 1 species